UACGUAGGGGGCUAGCGUUGUCCGGAUUUAUUGGGCGUAAAGAGCGUGUAGGCGGCCAGGUAGGUCUGCUGUGAAAACUCGAGGCUUAACCUCGAGAUGUCGGCGGAAACCAUCUGGCUAGAGUCCGGAAGAGGAGAGUGGAAUUCCCGGUGUAGCGGUGAAAUGCGCAGAUAUCAGGAAGAACACCCGUGGCUAAGGCGGCUCUCUAGUACGGUACUGACGCUGAGACGCGAAAGCGUGGGGAGCGAACAGG
rnacentral:rRNA from 1 species